rnacentral:rRNA from 1 species
AGAGUUUGAUCAUGGCUCAGGACGAACGCUGGCGGCGUGCCUAACACAUGCAAGUCGAGCGAUGAAACCCUUCGGGGUGGAUUAGCGGCGGACGGGUGAGUAACACGUGGGUAACCUGCCUCAAAGAGGGGAAUAGCCUCCCGAAAGGGAGAUUAAUACCGCAUAAUAUGUUUUGGUCGCAUGGCCGAAACAUCAAAGGAUUUUCUUCGGAAAUUCCACUUUGAGAUGGACCCGCGGCGCAUUAGCUAGUUGGUGAGGUAACGGCUCACCAAGGCGACGAUGCGUAGCCGACCUGAGAGGGUGAUCGGCCACAUUGGAACUGAGACACGGUCCAGACUCCUACGGGAGGCAGCAGUGGGGAAUAUUGCGCAAUGGGGGAAACCCUGACGCAGCAACGCCGCGUGAAUGAUGAAGGCCUUCGGGUUGUAAAGUUCUGUCUUCUGGGACGAUAAUGACGGUACCAGAGGAGGAAGCCACGGCUAA